rnacentral:rRNA from 1 species
GACGAACGCUGGCGGCGUGCUUAACACAUGCAAGUCGAACGGAAAGGCCCUGCUUUUGUGGGGUGCUCGAGUGGCGAACGGGUGAGUAACACGUGAGUAACCUGCCCUUGACUUUGGGAUAACCUCAGGAAACUGGGGCUAAUACCGGAUAGGAGCUCCUGCUGCAUGGUGGGGGUUGGAAAGUUUCGGCGGUUGGGGAUGGACUCGCGGCUUAUCAGCCUGUUGGUGGGGUAGUGGCUUACCAAGGCUUUGACGGGUAGCCGGCCUGAGAGGGUGACCGGCCACAUUGGGACUGAGAUACGGCCCAGACUCCUACGGGAGGCAGCAGUGGGGAAUAUUGCACAAUGGGCGGAAGCCUGAUGCAGCAACGCCGCGUGCGGGAUGACGGCCUUCGGGUUGUAAACCGCUUUCGCCUGUGACGAAGCGUGAGUGGCGGUAAUGGGUAAAGAAGCACCGGCUAACUACGUG